AGAGUUUGAUCAUGGCUCAGGAUGAACGCUGGCGGCGUGCCUAACACAUGCAAGUCGAGCGAUCUUCUUCGGAAGAGAGCGGCGGACGGGUGAGUAACGCGUGGGUAACCUGCCUCAUACACAUGGAUAACAUACCGAAAGGUAUGCUAAUACAAGAUGAUAUAAGAGAUUCGCAUGGAUUCUUAUCAAAGCUCCGGCGGUAUGAGAUGGACCCGCGUCUGAUUAGCUAGUUGGUAAGGUAAUGGCUUACCAAGGCGACGAUCAGUAGCCGACCUGAGAGGGUGAUCGGCCACAUUGGAACUGAGACACGGUCCAAACUCCUACGGGAGGCAGCAGUGGGGAAUAUUGCACAAUGGGCGAAAGCCUGAUGCAGCAACGCCGCGUGAGCGAUGAAGGCCUUCGGGUCGUAAAGCUCUGUCCUCAAGGAAGAUAAUGACGGUACUUGAGGAGGAAGCCCCGGCUAACUACGUG
rnacentral:rRNA from 1 species